AAAGAGAAGCAGACAUGGAGCCCUGCAAACUUGGCCUAAACAUUGCUCUCGGUGUUCUAGCAUCAUAAUGUGACUUUUCUUUUUAACCACAGUUUGUUGUUAAUUUAUAAAGUUACACUAACUUCCACCUCCGAUACAGAGCUUCUAAAAGAAUCAAAGUAUAAAAUAUAUGUGGUUGUAAAAAAGUGCCUUGUAAAUUCUAAAGCACUAGAGAACCUGUCUUCUACCUUGGUGAAUACAUCUCCAGGAUGAGGCCACCCAUUUUGGCUUCCACUAACCCGGAGGAACCUGGAGCAAGGAAACCAAAGGAAGUAUUCAGGAAGCUUCAGAUUUGACUGCUGGCAUUAUAGGCAAGAAUUACACACACAUGACUUACUGUUCACUAUUGGUGAGAACUCGUGUUCUCAUUUCGGGCAAUGUUUAGAAUGAAGCUCCAUUAAACAUGCUUGCUCCGAGGAA
rnacentral:lncRNA from 1 species